rnacentral:lncRNA from 1 species
GUAGGUGGAGGUAUAGAGGUAUAGGACUGUAGGUGGAGGUAUAGAGGUACGGGACUGUAUGUGGAGGUAUGGGGCUGUAGGUGGAGGUAUAGAGGUAUGGGACUGUAGGUGGAGGUAUAGAGGUAUGGGACUGCAGGUGGAGGUAAAGAGGUAUGGGACUGUAGGUGGAGGUAUGGGACUGUAGGUGGAGGUAUGGGACUGUAGGUGGAGGUAUAGAGGUAUGGGACUGUAGGUGGAGGUAUAGAGGUAUGGGACUGUAGGUGGAGGUGGAGGUAUAGAGGUUUGGGACUGUAGGUGGAGGUAUGGGACUGUAGGUGGAGGUAUAGAGGUAUGGGACUGUAGGUGGAGGUAUAGAGGUAUGGGACUGUAGGUGGAGGUAUGGACUGUAGGUGGAGGUAUGGGACUGUAGGUGGAGGUAUAGAGGUAUGGGACUGUAGGUGGAGGUAUGGGACUGUAG